rnacentral:rRNA from 1 species
UAUUCAUUGUUAAUUUAACCUAUAGUAGUAGUAGAGGUCUUGAAAUUAAAAAGGUUUGGCGGUAAACUAGUCUAAUUAGAGGAACUUGUGUCGUAAAUGAUAAUACACAAAAAUCUUACUUGUUUUUGUGGUCAGCUUAUAUAUCGUCGUUUUCAGAAUAUCUUUAGAGAGAGCUUUCUUGAGUUUUAAGGAGGGGAAUUCAGAUCAAGGUGUAGCUAAUAAACAAGGAUGAGCAUGAGUUACAAUAGAGGUAUCUAAACGGAGAGGUUAUGAAAUGUUACUAGGAAGGCGGAUUUAAAUGUAAGUUGGUAAUAUAAAGAUCAGCUGAAUAAGCACUGGAUUAUG